rnacentral:rRNA from 1 species
GACGAACGCUGGCGGCGUGCCUAAUACAUGCAAGUCGAGCGAAGCGGCGGAUGGGUGAGUAACGCGUGAGUAACCUGCCAUUAACUCUGGGAUACCAUUCGGAAACAGAUGCUAAUACCGGAUACUAAAGGAUGGACCUGCGAUGCAUUGGCUAGAUGGUAAGGGACAGGCUUACCAAGGCGAGGAUGCAUAGCAGAGUAGAGAGACUGAUCGGCAGAAGUGGGACUGAGACACUGCCCAAACUCCUACGGCAGGCAGCAGUAGGGAAUCUUCCACAAUGGACGAAAGUCUGAUGGAGCAACGAGGCUUGAGUGAAGAAGGUUUUCAGAUCGUAAAGCUCUGUUGUUGGUGAAGCGGUAAUCAACCAGAAAGUCACGGCUAACUACGUGCCAGCAGCAGCGGUAAUAC